rnacentral:rRNA from 1 species
GAUACCCGGGUAGUCCACGCCGUAGACGAUGGUCACUAGCUGUUUGGACUUCGGCCUGAGUGGCUAAGCGAAAGUGAUAAGUGACCCACCUGGGGAGUACGUUCGCAAGAAUGAAACUCAAAGGAAUUGACGGGGGCCCGCACAAGCGGUGGAGCAUGUGGUUUAAUUCGAUGAUACGCGAGGAACCUUACCAGGGCUUAAAUGUAAGUUGCAUGAUUUAGAGAUAGAUCUUUCUUCGGACUACUUACAAGGUGCUGCAUGGCCGCCGUCAG